AGUGGCGGACGGGUGAGUAACGCGUGAGAAUCUGCCUUGCGGUCGGGGACAACCACUGGAAACGGUGGCUAAUACCGGAUAAGCCGAUUGGUGAAAGAUUUAUUGCCCGAAGAGGAGCUCGCGUCUGAUUAGCUAGUUGGUGAGGUAAGAGCUCACCAAGGCAGCGAUCAGUAGCUGGUCUGAGAGGACGAUCAGCCACACUGGGACUGAGACACGGCCCAGACUCCUACGGGAGGCAGCAGUGGGGAAUUUUCCGCAAUGGGCGAAAGCCUGACGGAGCAAGACCGCGUGAGGGAGGAAGGCUCUUGGGUUGUAAACCUCCUUUCUCAGGGAAGAAGCUCUGACGGUACCUGAGGAAUCAGCCUCGGCUAACUCCGUGCCAGCAGCCGCGGUAAUACGGAGGAGGCAAGCGUUAUCCGGAAUUAUUGGGCGUAAAGCGUCCGCAGGUGGCGAUUCAAGUCUGCUGUCAAAGCACGGGGCUUAACUCCGUAAAGGCAGUGGAAACUGAAUAGCUAGAGUGCCGUAGGGGUAGAGGGAAUUCCCGGUGUAGCGGUGAAAUGCGUAGAGAUCGGGAAGAACAUCGGUGGCGAAAGCGCUCUACUGGACGGCAACUGACACUCAGGGACGAAAGCUAGGGGAGCGAAUGGGAUUAGAUACCCC
rnacentral:rRNA from 1 species